GAUGAACGCUGGCGGUCUGCUUAACACAUGCAAGUCGAACGGGCUCUUCGGAGCUAGUGGCGGACGGGUGAGUAACGCGUGAGGAUCUGCCCUUAGGACGGGGACAACAGCUGGAAACGGCUGCUAAUACCCGAUGUGCCGAGAGGUGAAACUAUUUGGCCUGAGGAUGAGCUCGCGUCUGAUUAGCUAGUUGGAGUGGUAACGGCACACCAAGGCGACGAUCAGUAGCUGGUCUGAGAGGAUGAUCAGCCACACUGGGACUGAGACACGGCCCAGACUCCUACGGGAGGCAGCAGUGGGGAAUUUUCCGCAAUGGGCGAAAGCCUGACGGAGCAAGACCGCGUGCGGGAGGAAGGUCUAUUGAUUGUAAACCGCUUUUGAUAGGGAAGAAGAUCUGACGGUACCUAUCGAAUCAGCAUCGGCUAACUCCGUGCCAGCAGCCGCGGUAAUACGGGGGAUGCAAGCGUUAUCCGGAAUUAUUGGGCGUAAAGCGUCCGUAGGUGGUUUUAAAAGUCUGUUGUCAAAUCGCGAGGCUUAACCUCGUACAGGCAGUGGAAACUAUAAGACUAGAGUGCGGUAGGGGUAGAGGGAAUUUCCAGUGUAGCGGUGAAAUGCGUAGAUAUUGGAAAGAACACCGGUGGCGAAGGCGCUCUACUGGGCCUGCACUGACACUGAGGGACGAAAGCUAGGGGAGCGAAAGGGAUUAGAUACCCCUGUAGUCCUAGCCGUAAACGAUGGAAACUAGGUGUUGCCCG
rnacentral:rRNA from 2 species